GACGAACGCUGGCGGCGUGCUUAACACAUGCAAGUGGAGCGACGAACCGGGCUUCGGCCCGGGGCAAAGCCGCGAACGGGUGAGUAUCACGUGGGUAACCUGCCCCGAUGACCGGGACAACCCGAGGAAACUCGGGCUAAUACCGGAUGUCCUCUCAAUCCAUCAGGAUCGAGAGCAAAGGAAGCUUCGGCCUCCGCAUCGGGAUGGGCCCGCGGCCCAUUAGCUUGUUGGUGAGGUAAAGGCUCACCAAGGCGACGAUGGGUAGCUGGUCUGAGAGGACGAUCAGCCACACUGGGACUGAGACACGGCCCAGACUCCUACGGGAGGCAGCAGUGGGGAAUCUUGCGCAAUGCGCGAAAGCGUGACGCAGCAACGCCGC
rnacentral:rRNA from 1 species